rnacentral:rRNA from 1 species
ACGCUCGACACCUACGGGGGGCAGCAGUUGGGAAUAUUGGACAAUGGAGGAAACUCUGAUCCAGUGACGCCGCGUGAAGGAAGAAGGUCUUCGGAUUGUAAACUUAUUUUGUCAGGGAAGAAAAAAUGACUGUACCUGAAGAAAAAGCACCGGCUAACUACGUGCCAGCAGCCGCGGUAAUCUGAGGCGGGCUGGCAAGGC